GCGCCGGUGGCGCAGCGGUUAGCGCUGCUGUUUUGGAAAUUUUCAACGCGGGUUCGACCCCCCGCGGGGAA